rnacentral:rRNA from 1 species
AUUGAACGCUGGCGGCAGGCCUAACACAUGCAAGUCGAGCGGAUGAAGGGAGCUUGCUCCUGGAUUCAGCGGCGGACGGGUGAGUAAUGCCUAGGAAUCUGCCUGGUAGUGGGGGAUAACGUCCGGAAAUGGGCGCUAAUACCGCAUACGUCCUGAGGGUGUAAGUGGGGGAUCUUCGGACCUCACGCUAUCAGAUGAGCCUAGGUCGGAUUAGCUAGUUGGUGGGGUAAAGGCCUACCAAGGCGACGAUCCGUAACUGGUCUGAGAGGAUGAUCACUCACACGGGAACUGAGACACGGUCCAGACUCCUACGGGAGGCAGCAGUGGGGAAUAUUGGACAAUGGGCGAAAGCCUGAUCCAGCCAUGCCGCGUGUGGGAAGAAGGUCUUCGGAUUGUAAAGCACUGUAAGUUGGGAGGAAGGGCAGUAAGUUAAUACCUUGCUGUUUUGACGUUACCAACAGAAUAAGCACCGGCUAACUUCGUG